rnacentral:rRNA from 1 species
UACGGGGGGUGCGAGCGUUUGUCCGGAAUCACUGGGCGUAAAGGGCGCGUAGGUGGUUUGAUAAGGGUGUGGUGAAAGUCCGGGGCUCAACUCCGGAUCUGCCGUGCCGACUGUCAAACUCGAGGGCUGUAGAGGCAGACGGAAUUCCGGGUGUAGCGGUGGAAUGCGUAGAGAUCCGGAGGAAGACCGGUGGCGAAGGCGGUCUGCUGGGCAGUUUCUGACACUGAGGCGCGGAAAGCGUGGGGAGCAAACAGG